UCCCCCUUAGCUCAGUUGGUUAGAGCGGCUGACUGUUAAUCAGUAGGUCCUUGGUUCGAGCCCAAGAGGGGGAGCCA
rnacentral:tRNA from 1 species